rnacentral:rRNA from 1 species
GAUGAACGCUGGCGGCGUGCCUAAUACAUGCAAGUCGAGCGAACAGACGAGGAGCUUGCUCCUUUGACGUUAGCGGCGGACGGGUGAGUAACACGUGGAUAACCUACCUAUAAGACUGGGAUAACUUCGGGAAACCGGAGCUAAUACCGGAUAACAUGUUGAACCGCAUGGUUCAACAGUGAAAGACGGUCUUGCUGUCACUUAUAGAUGGAUCCGCGCCGCAUUAGCUAGUUGGUAAGGUAACGGCUUACCAAGGCAACGAUGCGUAGCCGACCUGAGAGGGUGAUCGGCCACACUGGAACUGCGACCCGGGCCAGACUCCUAAGGGAGGCAGCAGUAGGGAAUCUUCCGCAAUGGGCGAAAGCCUGACGGAGCAACGCCGCGUGAGGGAAGAAGGUCUUCGGAUCGGAAAACCCUGUUAUUAGGGAAAAACAAAAGGGUAAGUAACUAUGCACGUCUUGACGGUACCUAAUCAGAAAGCCACGGCUAACUACGUG